rnacentral:misc_RNA from 1 species
UGUGCUGGCUUAGUGAGCUUCUCCAUUUCUGUUGUGAAAGGUGUCUUGCCGCGUAUGAAUUGACCGAUUGGCAUUUCAUUUCUUUAGACGCUAGUGCGGAACAGUAGAGUAGUGCGUUCUUUCUUUAAGCCGGUAAGGUAAUCUGUCGGUGUCAGAUCCAUGUCGAAACGAAUACGUAAAAGGAGAGACCGUAACUUACUCGAAAGGGAGUCCCACCUAACAGUAUGCUUAGCUUCAAGUGGAAUAUUUUUUAUAAAAAGCAGCGACCAGGGCACUGGAGUCUCCCGAGCCUUGGAACCGUUUUACUCUUUGUAGGUUAGGGGA